rnacentral:piRNA from 1 species
UUUAUGCUAAUAGGAUGCCCCACAAGUCAUU